CAGACAGAUGUGAGCGUGGCCCAGGCCAGCUGACACAUCGCUGUCAGCCCAGAGCAACUACCAUGUCCAGCUGCCAUCCUGCCCCGUGGGCCCUUGAUGUGCAGCCCUCACCUUCCAGAGUGUCUCAGAGAGCAGGCCUUUAGGUCCCCUCACUCUGGGGGUUUCCAGAGACCAAAGAUAGACAAGGAAGGGUUCAAAGGACAUGCUUCCAUGUAGCCCAGGCCCACAGCAGUCCCUGCCUCUGCUCACCAGCCUCCCACAGUGGUCACCAUGUUCUCGUGGCCUUGGGAGCACCAGGUGGGCAGGGCAGAGUUCCCUUCCUUACCACCACUCAGCUUGGCUCACUGGGGAUCCCGUCCACCGGUUUUGACUGCAGUGGUCCUGUCUGCUCACAGACUUGCCAGCGUGAAUUCCUCACUCUGCGUGUGCACCGGGUCUCCCCAAGGAGAUCAUAAACCCCUGGAGGUCAGGACACUUCAGCCGCCUCCUCCACGGCCUCCAGCUGGCAUGGCACCUGGCACCAGACAGGGUGCUCAGAAACACUUGGCAGGAUGGCUGGCUGGGUGGGCCGACACACAGACAGAUGGGGGUAGAUGGAUGAAAAGACUUGCCCAGCAAGUCUUGAAGGGGACGGGCACCCCCACUGUGUCCCAGCUGCUUUUCCCAGGUCCAUCUCUCUCACCCCACCCCCUGACAACCCCAUGGCUCCCAUUUUGCACACGAGGACACUCAGGCCCGGAGAGGAGAGUUUGUGGCAGAGCAGAGACUGGACUUCAGGCCUCCUGUCCCACCCUCCUGGGCCUGGGUGGGCGGCCUGAACCCACCUGCUUUCCCUCCGGAAGGUUCAGGGUCUGUUGGGGAGCAGCACCAAGGGGCGGGUUUUCCUACUUGGUGAGAAUUCAAGAGCUUCUGAACCCUGUACGGUCCCCAGUGGUCUGCCUGGAAUGGUAGAAGGCCCCACCCUGGAGGGGUAAUAAGGACGGCAACUGUGGACUGUCCUCAGAGACACAGCUUCUGUCCUAAUGGGGGAAGGCAAAUAAUAAACACCUAAGUGAAACAUACAGCAUGUCAGAUGGUGGCAAGUGCAGGGAAGCAGGAGAGGGAGUACAGGGUACAGCGGAUGGGUGUCUUUUUUGCAUUUGUCAGAGAACACUCCUCCAAUAAGGUGAUGAAGCAGAGAUCUGAAGAAAAUGAGGGCAUGAGCCAUGCAGAUUUCUGUGGGGAGAACACUCCAGGCAGCAGGAAGAGCAAGUGCAAAGGCCCUGAGGCCUCACAGAACUGGCUGCGGCUCUAUGGCUACCUGCCCCAGCCCAGCCGCCACAUGUCCACCAUGCGCUCCGCCCAGAUCCUGGCCUCGGCCCUCGCCGAGAUGCAGCGCUUCUACGGGAUCCCCAUCACGGGUGUGCUGGACGAAGAGACCAAGGCGUGGAUGAAGCGGCCCCGCUGUGGAGUACCAGACCAGUUCGGGGUACGCGUGAAAGCCAAUCUGCGGCGGCGGAAGCGCUAUGCCCUCACCGGGAGGAAGUGGAACAACCACCACCUGACCUUCAGCAUCCAGAACUACACGGAGAAGCUGGGCUGGUACCACUCGCUGGAGGCGGUGCGUCGGGCCUUCCGCGUGUGGGAGCAGGCCACGCCCCUGGUCUUCCAGGAGGUACCCUAUGAGGACAUCCGGCUGCGGCGGCAGAAGGAGGCCGACAUCAUGGUACUCUUUGCCUCUGGCUUCCACGGCGACAGCUCACCGUUUGAUGGCACAGGUGGCUUUCUGGCCCACGCCUAUUUCCCUGGCCCUGGUCUGGGCGGGGACACCCAUUUCGAUGCAGAUGAGCCCUGGACCUUCUCCAGCACUGACCUGCAUGGGAACAGUCUCUUCCUGGUAGCAGUGCAUGAGCUGGGCCAUGCCCUGGGGCUGGAGCACUCAAGCAACCCCAGCGCCAUCAUGGCACCAUUCUACCAGUGGAUGGACAUUGACAACUUCCAGCUGCCCGAGGACGACCUCCGGGGCAUCCAGCAGCUGUACGGCACCCCAGAUGGCCAGCCACAGCCCACCCGGCCUCUUCCCACUGUGACCCCCCGGCGGCCAGGCCGGCCAGACCACCGGCCCCCCAGACCCCCUCAGCUACCUCCCCCAGGCGGGAAGCCGGAGCAGCCCCCAAAGCCAGGCCCCCCAGCCCAGCCUCGAGCCACGGAGCGGCCCGACCAGUAUGGCCCCAACAUCUGCGACGGGGACUUUGACACAGUGGCCGUGCUGCGUGGGGAGAUGUUCGUGUUCAAGGGCCGCUGGUUCUGGCGGGUCCGGCACAACCGGGUCCUGGACAACUACCCCAUGCCCAUCGGGCACUUCUGGCGUGGUCUGCCCAGUGACAUCAGUGCUGCCUACGAGCGCCAAGAUGGGCGUUUUGUCUUUUUCAAAGGUGGCCGCUACUGGCUCUUCCGAGAAGCAAACCUGGAGCCUGGCUACCCACAGCCACUGACUAGCUACGGCCUGGGUAUCCCCUACGACCGCAUUGACACAGCCAUCUGGUGGGAGCCCACAGGUCACACCUUCUUCUUCCAAGAGGACAGGUAUUGGCGUUUCAAUGAGGACACGCAGCGUGGAGACCCCGGCUAUCCCAAGCCCAUCAGCGUGUGGCAGGGGAUCCCCACCUCCCCUAAAGGGGCCUUCCUGAGCAACGAUGCAGCCUACACCUACUUCUACAAGGGCACCAAAUACUGGAAGUUUGACAACGAGCGCCUGCGAAUGGAGCCCGGCUACCCCAAGUCCAUCCUGCGGGACUUCAUGGGCUGCCAAGAGCACGUGGAGCCGGGGCCCCGAUGGCCUGACGUGGCCCGUCCGCCCUUCAACCCUGACGGGGGUGCAGAGCCCGGGGCGGGCGGUGACAGUGAGGAGGGCCACGAGGCGGGCCCCGGCAGCAAGGAGGGGGACUUCGGGGAGGGGACGGACGAGGACGGGGGCAGCCGCGUGGUGGUGCAGAUGGAGGAGGUCACUCGGACGGUGAACAUGGUGAUGGUGCUGGUGCCGCCGAUGCUGCUGCUGCUCUGCAUCCUGGGCCUCACCUACGCGCUGGUGCAGAUGCAGCGCAAGGGCGCGCCCCGCAUGCUCCUCUACUGCAAGCGCUCCCUGCAGGAGUGGGUCUGACCCUCCGCACCAGCCCGUCCUGCUCCUCACGGUGCUAAGGGGCCGGGCUGGCUGCGCCUGUGGUUCUGAGACAGCUCCUGGGGCCUUUCAUCCAGAGCCUUCAGUGGUUCCCUCAGCCCCUGGGUGGGGGCCCCUCCAGGCCCUCUAACGUCCCUGCCAGGCCUGUCCCCUUGUUUAUUUAUGCCCAGGUAUCUUUUUUUUUUUUUUUUUUUGCACACUAAUUGAGCAUUUCUUCCUACUUUCCUGACCAGGGCGGUCCCUCAGGGCAGGGGGUUAGAGUUUUCUAAAUGUAGUUCUGCACCAGACAGGGAAUUAGGCUCCCACCCGCUCUGGCUUAGCCAGAGGAGCAGAGGGCCAGAAGGCCCGGCUGGAAGAGUGGCCAAAGGACUGCUGGGCUGUGCUUCAGCCUGAGCACCAGGGCCAGAACCAAGGGCUCUGCUGGCUUUGGAGCUUGGUGGGGCCUAACUGGUCUCCAGCCCUCUGAGUCUCUGUGGUCUUAGAAAGAGCUUUCACCCGGUGGCAGCCCCAGGCCAGAGGGGGCAGAGGGGGAGGUGGCCCGCUGAUUGAGUCCUGUUGAGGUCUGGUUCCUUCCCACCCACCUCUGACAACUCCAGCAGCCUGGUUCCCUGUGCCUAAGAACCUACCCUGCCCCUGGCCAGCACAGGGCCAACAGCCCCCAGCUCCCCUGGACCCCUUGAGCCCACACCCCCUUCCCUCUCUGGAGAAGGGGCCCUGGGCCUGCCUUACCAAGGACCAAAGGGGGUCUGCCGAGGCCCCUUCCCCAAGAGUAGCACCAGCCUCGGCCCCAGGCUGGGUCUCCACCCCCGCCCACUUUCUCCUCUCUGAGCCGUGACCCGACUGGGCUCUUUCCGUGAGCCUCCUCCCUCCCUCUGUCACCCACACCACCAUCCUCAGAGGUCUCAGAACCCCAGCAGCCUCAGGCUCAGCUGCCAGUGUCCUGGCUCUCCCGGGGAGAGACGGGCGGAUGGGCGCCCAGGCUGGCACGGUAGGUGUCCACAGACACGUGCCCACCAGCCUGCGGGUGUUCCUCCCUGCCAGCUCCCUGUCCCCCAGGGGCACUGGUAGGGAGAGGCCAGCAGCUCAUCCCCUCACACAGGCUGUGGGACAGGGCUGUGGAGCCCCCAGAAGAGCCCACUAGUGGUAGCCUGGAGAUCCUCCCUGUCCUGGGCUCAGCCCUGAGCGUGGAGAUGAUUCCUCCCUCUUUUCCUUCCCAAAGUAAGCAGGAGGCGAGGCUGCUGUGGGAAAUGGUACUGUACAGCCGGCUCUGUCCCCUCUGCUUCCCUGCAGCCCUGAGCAAGCAGGUCUGCCGCCCAGAAUCCCUGAGGCCCCUGCGGGGAGGGGCUCCUCAUGGGCUGGCCCCGGUGCGGGUCCAGCAGCUUCCUCCCCGCUCCAUCCUCAGAACCACCGGCAGCCUGAAGACCCAGCUUGGACAGGAAGAGAUGAGAAACGAUGCCACCGUGGAUUCCAGAAGUCCCCCUCAUGCACAUGCUCUGCCCAGAAGGUGAGGGGCCACCCAGGACCUGCCCUCUUCGAAGAAGCAGAAAACCUCGCCCCGGGCAGGGGGCAGACGAUGCCCAGGAGUGCAGGAGACGGGCGUCGCUGCCCUCGGGUCUGAGCUUGGCUGGAAACCGCCUGAGGAGCCUUCCAGCCCCAGCUCCCGGCUAGAAGCUCAAAGAAACCCGUUGGCUCAAGGAACAGCCCAUCUCACGAGCCCAGUUUAUCCUUGCUCAGGGGCCCAGGUGUGUGGAAGUUUCUGAGGCACGAGGGGUGGGGGAGCGCCUGGGCCCUCUCUCCCCCUCCUCAGCUCCAGACAGCCCGGCAGCCCCAGUGACCCCCUCCUCCCCAGGAUUAAACAGAAGCCCACAUCUUUAACAUGGCUUGUUUUUUUAAAUCAAGCUGUAACCUAAGCUCACCUUGGGCCCCUCCCAGCCCCCCAUUCCCUCAGCAUCUUUUGUUUCUUUAUAUUUUGCUAAUUCCCAAGUAAAACAGGCAAGACAUUACAGAUAAACAAAAAGAAGAAAAAGGUAAGUUGCCAUCACUCCCCAGCCAGUGCGGACAGCUGGUGUGUUUCCUUCCAGCCUCUUUUCCUCUGCUUUUGCACAGCUUGGGGUUUUUAGAGUCCAGAACGUCCUGGGCUUCAGCCCUGGUGCUACCGGUACUUAAACCUCAGUGGAGGGGAUCACAUGACCUACCCCACUGGCUGCUGGGAGGAUGAUCGGAGGACGCUGGCUGUCAAGUGCUGGCGAGUGCUCAGUGUGUGAUCACGACUCCAGUCGUCUUGCAUGCUCCCUUGCUUACAUUUCACUCCCGAGACGAGCGGGGCUCAGAGAGGUGAAGUGACUUGGCCAAGGUCACACAGCCAGGAAGUGGACGAUUAGAACCCAGACAGAAUGACUUGCACAGCAGCCCAGCGCCCCCACCCCCACGCUGCUGGAGAAUCCAGAAGGGAUGAGGAGGCCCCUGACCACCCUGGCCUUCCCUCCUCACACGUUCUAGACAUCGAAGACCCCAGAGCCACCAACAGAGCCUCCUUUCAGGCUGGGGCAGGGCUGAGCUGGCUGCUUCCUCCCCCUCCGACUUGGCAGAAAAGCCUUUUUGUUGUGGCCCACAUAGAGGCCAUUCUCCUCCGGCUCACGGGAAGAAAUGGCCAGCUUCCUGCCCAUCCACAGCUGCCCAGGCGGCAGUGGACUCCUUCGUGUACAUCCAAGAGGAGCAGGGCUUCCUGCCCCUCCAGGUCCUCCAGUUCUGCCUCAGGGGCCCGAAGCUGCCGGACUUUGCCCCUCGAUCCGUGAAACCACACAAGGGGGUUGGACACAGCCUCCUCUCAGCUUUCCUGGCGAAUGCUGGGGAUUCCAGGCCUCAAGGCACUCUCAGGACACAGCAGUACUGCCCUCGGCCUACUGCUCAAGUGGCCUCAUGACCCACAAAGCGCUGGCAGAGCCCCUGCCAGGCUGCUUGCUCUGUCCCAAAUGUCCUGGCACUUGCUUGCCUCUAUGCCUUUGCUUGUGUUGUUCCCUCCUGCUGGAAAACCCUUCCCUGCACAUUUUAUCCUAUUCAAAUUGCACAGAUCCUUUAAGGCACAGGUUAAGGCUUGCCUUUUCCAGAUUUUCACCCUCCCCUCCUCAAGAUGAUUGUUUCCUUCCACCCUUGGCUCACCCAGCACUUGCAUCCUAACCAUUCCUUGCCUCUGACUCCAGUCUGCCCAUCCUAACAGGCACCCAGAUGCUGAGUGUGACUCCAUCACUCACAGGCUGUGUGUCCUUGGGCAAGUCACUUCACCUUUCUGAGCCCAUCUGUAGAAUGCGGCUAAUAGCCAUGCCUAUUUCAUUCAGCUGUGAGGCUUGAUUGAGCUGAUCCAUGUAAACACUUAGAACAGCCCACAGCAGGCUCUCAAUAGUUUGUUACUCAGAUCUCUGUUUUAGGUGCAGGUACCUGAUGGGCACUAAGGAGGCAUACCUCCUUGCCUUCCUCUCCAGGAGUAUUUGUGGGACGGGGUCAGAGGUCGACAAGCCCAAGGACAGGUGCCAGGAAGAGGGACAUUCCUCUCCCACCAGCUCCCCCCCUCAGCUGCCGUGGCCUCACCCUGCCGACCCUGGCGGCCCAGCCCCUCCUCACCCGCAGCGCCAGCCCUUCUUUCCAGAUCUAGAGCACGAGGCCCCGGCUCAGGUUUUCUCCCCAAGUGCUCCUGUCACCUCCCACCCCUACAUUUUUCACCCACCUCACUCUGCCAGAAAUAGCCUCCAAACUCCCCUUCUCUUGCAGCCAAUCUAACAGGCCCCUCCUGGAAAAACUAUAUCAUUCCCCUGCCAGCAUGGAUCACAGCAAUAAACUGGAUUCCAUUAAGAAAUUAUUGAGUCAGUGGAAAGGGAGGGGCAGCUAUACCCCAAUAAUUUCAUCAGAAAAUUACACAGCACCAUCCUAAAACCUGUCGACUUCAGCUAGAUUAAGGUUUCUUUAUAGAUGGGGACACCGAGGCCUGGACAGGGGGCUGAUUUGACCACAGUCACUCACUCAGUCUUUAAACUGAUGCCCAGGCAGGACUCCUCGACCCCCACCCUCUCUCUCCAUGCACACCACGCCACCUCCCCACCCCUCAUGGGGCCUCCCUCUUCUGCACUUUGGAAGAACUGAGGGCAAGGUGUUGUGGUUAAUCCAGCUUUCCUGAUAAAGGGCA